GAUGAACGCUGGCGGCGUGCCUAAUACAUGCAAGUCGAGCGAACAGACGAGGAGCUUGCUCCUCUGAUGUUAGCGGCGGACGGGUGAGUAACACGUGGAUAACCUACCUAUAAGACUGGGAUAACUUCGGGAAACCGGAGCUAAUACCGGAUAACAUGUUGAACCGCAUGGUUCAACAGUGAAAGACGGUCUUGCUGUCACUUAUAGCUGGAUCCGCGCCGCAUUAGCUAGUUGGUAAGGUAACGGCUUACCAAGGCAACGAUGCGUAGCCGACCUGAGAGGGUGAUCGGCCACAUUGGAACGGAGACACGGUCCAGACUCCUACGGGAGGCAGCAGUAGGGAAUCUUCCGCAAUGGGCGAAAGCCUGACGGAGCAACGCCGCGUGAGUGAAGAAGGUCUUCGGAUCGUAAAACUCUGUUAUUAGGGAAGAACAAAUGUGUAAGUAACUAUGCACGUCUUGACGGUACCUAAUCAGAAAGCCACGGCUAACUACGUG
rnacentral:rRNA from 1 species